UACGGAGGGUGCAAGCGUUAAUCGGAAUUACUGGGCGUAAAGCGCGCGUAGGUGGUUAAGUAAGCGAGAUGUGAAAGCCCCGGGCUCAACCUGGGAAUGGCAUUUCGAACUGCUUGGCUAGAGUGUGGUAGAGGGUAGUGGAAUUUCCUGUGUAGCGGUGAAAUGCGUAGAUAUAGGAAGGAACACCAGUGGCGAAGGCGGCUACCUGGACCAACACUGACACUGAGGUGCGAAAGCGUGGGGAGCAAACAGG
rnacentral:rRNA from 1 species